GUGAGGAAUAUUGCGCAAUGGAGGCAACUCUGACGCAGCCAUGCCGCGUGCAGGAAGAAGGCGCUACGCGUUGUAAACUGCUUUUAACCGGGAAGAAACCCCAGGACGUGUCCUGGGUUGACGGUACCGGAGGAAUAAGCACCGGCUAACUUCGUGCCAGCAGCCGCGGUAAUACGAAGGGUGCAAGCGUUAUCCGGAUUCAUUGGGUUUAAAGGGUGCGUAGGCGGAGCGUUAAGUCAGUGGUGAAAUCCUGCAGCUUAACUGUAGACUUGCCAUUGAUACUGGCGCUCUUGAGUGCGCUUGAAGUGGGCGGAAUGUGCCGUGUAGCGGUGAAAUGCUUAGAUAUGGCACAGAACACCAAUUGCGAAGGCAGCUCACUAAAUUGUAACUGACGCUCAUGCACGAAAGCGUGGGGAUCAAACAGGAUUAGAAACCCUGGUAGUCC
rnacentral:rRNA from 1 species